rnacentral:lncRNA from 1 species
AAAAACCCUAACCCUUAUUUUUCUUUCAGUCUUGCCUUGUCGUUGUGAUUCUCGUGCUCUUGUUUGGUUUCGAGUCUCUCUGUUGUUAUUAUUCUUUGUUCGGUGGUAAAUUGUUGAACUGGUUUACUUUUAUUGCUUGAUUAAGGAACUAAUGGAGGUUUUUUCAGUGUUUUCAUGUUAAAUUCGUUCCCUUGAUGAGUUUUCGUGCUGAAUUUGUUUCCUUUUUCAUGAUUAAUCGAUGGGUUUGCUCUUUUUCACAUGGGCUUGUGAUUUCUUGUUUUGAUCGUUAUAAUAUUUGUGAAAGGAGAUGUGUUAAUACUUUUAUAUUGUUGAUCAUGGCGGUGUUCUCUUCAAUUUUCUGUUUUUGUUCUGGGCUUGUUUUCUGUCUUCAUGUUUGUUGAAUUGUGUAGCCCACCAAAAUCAAACUCUAGGGCCUUGUUUGUUUCCAGGAAUUCACUUUCCUGGAAACCAUUUUCCUCACUUUUCCAUGUUUGGCAAUACAUGGAAAGUGAGUUAAAGGAAAUGUAAUUCCAGUCAAAGGAAAAUGUUAAGUUUAACAUAAGGAAAGUGUUUUCCGUUUUUAAUUCUCGAAAAACACUUUCCUGAGCCAAUGCUGCGUGUUUUUCUGUAACUGUUCAUGGUAAUUGCACUGUUCAUCGAACAGUGCAAUUAACAUGAACAGUGUAUUACAUACACUGUUCACUAAAAAAGAGUGAACAGUGCAGUUUUAGUGAAUUGUUCCUUUUUUUUUUUCUUUUUUUUCUUUUUUUUUUUAAUAUAAAUAUAAGUGUGCUAUUUUUUUAACAUUAAAAAAAAUAGUUUAGAGUGAAUUUUAUACCUUAAUAUUUUAUCCAAUUUUAUUACAUGCUAAAAAUAUUAUUAAAACUAUAGUUUUUGUCGGAUGUAUUUCGUACGUAAUGAAAUUAUAAAUGGUUUCAUAGAAUAGUAAAAAAUAUUUCACAAGCUUAUUUUUUUAUAAUAUGAUAUGAUAUAUAUAGUUAUAUUUUAUAAAAUAAACUAUGUAUGAAUAUAGAAUAUAAUAAUAAAAAAAAUCAUCAUUAUACAUUUUAGAUUUUAUUUUUUUUAUUGUAAGUGAUUAAAUAUUUUAUAUUAAAUAUUUUAUAUAUAUUAGAUAAAUUUGAAAAAAAAAUUAAUUUAUUAAUAAAUUAUUUUCCAAUUUAUUUUUCAUAACACAACCAAACACUGGAAAGUGUUUUCCAUAACACUACCAAACAUCGGAAAAUACUUUACCGGAAUUCACUUUCCAGGAAUUCACUUUCCUCGGAAUUCAUUUUCCAAAAAGAAUUCACUUUCCUGCAAACAAACGGGGCCUAGAUCUGUUUUUCCUUUCUUUGAAUCGUAUAAAACUGUUUAUAAUAGGCGAGAAUACCUAUUUUGACCCUGAUCCAUUUGGGUCCCUUUACACGAACUUUUGACGAACUCUUGGAAGAACCUUAUAUUGGACCUACAAUUAACGUAUGACUCCUAAGUGGCCCAAAGGGUUCGCACAUGGUCAACUUGAAAGCUAGCUUGGUGGCCCAUGGUUCUGCACCCAGUGGCCUUAUAAU